UACGUAGGGUGCGAGCGUUAAUCGGAAUUACUGGGCGUAAAGCGUGCGCAGGCGGUUAUUUAAGUCAGGUGUGAAAGCCCUGGGCUUAACCUAGGAAUUGCGCUUGAGACUGGAUAGCUUGGAGUGCGGCAGAGGGAGGUGGAAUUCUUGGUGUAGCGGUGAAAUGCGUAGAUAUCAAGAGGAACACCUGAGGUGAAGACGGGUUGCUGGGCUGACACUGACGCUGAGGCGCGAAAGCGUGGGGAGCAAACAGG
rnacentral:rRNA from 1 species